UUUCUCUGGAACUUCACUGAAGUUGAAAUAUUGAUUCAAACCUAAUAUUUUAGAUUUCUAUUCUUUAUUGCGUGUAGGGAUCGUGGGAAACUGCCAAAUUCUAUUCUAUACAUAUCAAAAUGUUCACAUGGAAAUUCAACUCCAAAAUACUUUGAUCUCUCCUGUUCAGAUUUCUCUAAUCAAUCCUGAUGGCAUCGUCUGUAGAGUGCAACACAGAAGGGGAUGCUCUUUCUGCUUGGAACGCAAAUUUGGCAGAUCCAAGCAACUUGCUGCAGAGCUGGGCUCCUACACUAGUCAAUCUAUGUGCAUGGUUUCAAGCUACUUGCAACAGCAAUGACAGUGUCGGCAGGGUGGACCUUGCUAAUACUCGUCAGUGAGCUUGGACUUGUCACCAAUCUUCAGUAUGUCAUUUGAAGUUACAGUGAUUAUACAAGACGCUUGAGCUUCAAGGUAGACUAAUUGAACACCGGGGGACAAAAUACCAGCAUAAAUGCCACUGUUCCAAAAUAAAUUGUGUUUUUCCUUUAGCCUUAUUCUGCACCGUAAUAAAUAAAAACAUGUUCUUUCUUAGUGCAUGGGCAGGUUUGUUUGUUUUUUUUAUGAAAGUUUAUCUGUACAAUUGGAUUUACACCUGAAUUUUAUGAAAAAUAAGUAUGCUUAUCGAUGCUA